rnacentral:misc_RNA from 1 species
GCAGCUUUUGAUAACAGAAGUUGCAAACGUUUCCAAGGGACCUGUGAUUCUUGUUAUAAUGUCCGGAGGUGGCAUGGAUGUAUCAUUUGCAAAGACUAAUGACAAAAUCACAAGCAUCCUAUGGGUUGGCUACCCUGGAGAAGCUGGUGGAGCUGCCAUAGCUGAUGUGAUUUUUGGGUAUUACAAUCCAAGUGGAAGACUUCCAAUGACAUGGUAUCCACAAUCAUAUGUGGACAAAGUACCAAUGACAAACAUGAACAUGAGACCAGAUCCUUCUACUGGUUAUCCAGGUAGAACCUAUAGAUUCUACACAGGAGAAACUGUUUAUUCGUUCGGAGAUGGGCUGAGCUAUUCCAAAUUUGAGCACAAACUAGUUCGAGCACCUAAAUUAGUAUCUGUCCCGUUGGAGGAAGACCAUGCUUGUCGAUCGUCGAAAUGCAUAUCAAUUGAUGCUGUAGAGCAGACUUGUCAAAAUUUAGCUUUUGAUGUACAUUUGAAAGUUAAAAAUACAGGAAAAAUUAGAGGAAGCCAUACAGUGUUCUUGUUCUCUACACCUCCAUCAGUGCACAAUUCACCACAGAAGCAUUUGGUGGAUUUUGAGAAGGUUUCUUUGGACGCACAAACAGUUGGAAUGGUGCAAUUUAAGGUGGAUGUAUGCAAG